rnacentral:rRNA from 1 species
UAGGGAAUCUUCGGCAAUGGACGAAGGUCUAACCGAGCAACGCCGCGUGAGUGAAGAAGGUUUUCGGAUCGUAAAACUCUGUUGUUAGAGAAGAACAAGGACGUUAGUAACUGAACGUCCCCUGACGGUAUCUAACCAGAAAGCCACGGCUAACUACGUGCCAGCAGCCGCGGUAAUACGUAGGUGGCAAGCGUUGUCCGGAUUUAUUGGGCGUAAAGCGAGCGCAGGCGGUUUCUUAAGUCUGAUGUGAAAGCCCCCGGCUCAACCGGGGAGGGUCAUUGGAAACUGGGAGACUUGAGUGCAGAAGAGGAGAGUGGAAUUCCAUGUGUAGCGGUGAAAUGCGUAGAUAUAUGGAGGAACACCAGUGGCGAAGGCGGCUCUCUGGUCUGUAACUGACGCUGAGGCUCGAAAGCGUGGGGAGCAAACAGG